rnacentral:tRNA from 1 species
UCCUGUGGCUCAGAGGGUAAAGAACCUGCCUGGCAUGCAGGAGACCCAGGUUCGACCCCUGCAUCGGAA